GGAAGACCUGAGUCAGUGAGACUCUUGAUUUACCAGUUGAUUUACUCUCCUGCCCUCACUGAUGGUCAUGAAGUUUGGGUAAUAGGUGAAAGAAUAA